CUUUUUAUGAGAGUUUGAUCCUGGCUCAGGAUGAACGCUGGCGGCGUGCUUAACACAUGCAAGUCGAACGAAGCAACUUAUCACGAUUCCUUCGGGAUGACGAUUUGUUGACUGAG
rnacentral:rRNA from 1 species